UGGGCGAUUGGCGCAGGGGUUAGCGCGCUUCCUUGACAUGGAAGAGGUCACAGGUUCGAUUCCUGUAUCGCCCACCCA
rnacentral:tRNA from 1 species